AAGCUAAUUAUUUUUUUUAGGGGACUAAGCACUGGAAAAUAGUUAUAUUUACUAAAAAUUAUUCCUUUCUUUUUAUGAAAAGCUUUUGGGCAGUUGCUUCUUGUUGAUCUACAAUGCAGUUUAAACAUCAAAUAUCAUUACUCUUUAGUGAAGUCAUAAACAGUCUUUUAUUUAUUUUAAAGUUCUUCUUUUUCAUAUUUUCCUCUGCAAACCUAACAAUCCAGAUUAAGCACAUGGACUCUAUCAUCCUUGAAAAAUAUCCUUCCACGAAGGAGACUGGAAAGCACUUAGAAAUGCAAUUAUCGAAGCAAAACCAUCUCUAAGGUAAUACUGUUCUUCGUUUUUCAAUUUACCAUGCAGUAGAAAUUACAAAGUAAUCAUCGCUGAGAUAAUUCAAUUACAAAUUACCAACUUUCACCAUGGAUACAACAAUGAGUAAUGUCAAUAGAAACAGUAGUCAAAGUCGUGAAAGAAACACAAUUCACACUUCAGAGAAUGAAAUCCGUGCAUGUGAGUGUGGGUAUAAACGGGCUUCAUAAAUUACUGUGAGACGGCUCCCCUUAGCGACUUAGCGUGGGCAGCAGAAAGGGAAUAAAAGAAAAAAGAAAAAAAAAAGAAAAAAAGUAUUGUUUGAUCUUCUUGCUUUGGAUCGGCCACUAGUUUUAGCAAUAAAAAGGACCAACUAAUAACAAAGGAUUCGUGCAGUAGAUCUAAAUUCAUAACCAGGAUUAAAAACCAUAUCUUGUAUAUCAUCUAGGUAAGUUUAUUAUCUACUUUGUAAAGAUUUGGAGUUCCUUCUUAAAAUGUCAACUUUAUUAAAAGAAGGGGUACAACCCUUAUAAAUUGGUUUAUGUUUUCAUUUUUAAUUGAUGUAGGAUUUUAUACUUUUAACAUGUCCCCACAAGAUGGUGAUUCAUUUGAGCAGAUCAAUUUUGAAAUUCGUAUGUUCAUUUUUUAGUUUUGAUCGGAUCGGAUCGAAUCGUUCAUUAGAGUUUAAUGAGCUCUAAUACCAUAUUAAGAUUUAAAGUUAUAUUUUAAAAUGUCAAUAUUAUUAAGAGGGGUAUGUCAAAUUCUUAUAAAUUGGUCCAUAUUUUCACUUUAAUCGAUGUGAAGUUUUAUCCAUCAACAUACCUUGGCCUGAAUUCACUAAUCGAGGUAAUAAUUUUAAUUUUUUUUUUUUCGUGUCUAUAUAUAAUAUAG
rnacentral:lncRNA from 1 species